rnacentral:tRNA from 1 species
GGGGCUGUGGCUCAGUGGUAGAGCAUCCGUUUGGCAUGCAGAAGGUCCCCGGUUCAAUCCCUGGCAUCUCCA